UACGUAGGGUGCUAGCGUUGUUCGGAAUCAUUGGGCGUAAAGCGAGUGCAGGCUGUUAAUUAAGUCGGGUGUGAAAUCCCUGGGCUCAACCGAGGAAGUGCAUCCGAAACUAACUAGCUAGAGAAUGGUAGAGGAAGGUGGAAUUCCAAGUGUAGAGGUGAAAUUCGUAGAUAUUUGGAGGAAUACCGGUGGCGAAGGCGGCCUUCUGGACCAUUUCUGACGCUGAGACUCGAAAGCGUGGGGAGCAAACAGG
rnacentral:rRNA from 1 species